GACGAACGCUGGCGGCGUGCUUAACACAUGCAAGUCGAACGGAAAGGCCCUGCUUUUGUGGGGUGCUCGAGUGGCGAACGGGUGAGUAACACGUGAGUAACCUGCCCUUGACUUUGGGAUAACUUCAGGAAACUGGGGCUAAUACCGGAUAGGAGCUCCUGCUGCAUGGUGGGGGUUGGAAAGUUUCGGCGGUUGGGGAUGGACUCGCGGCUUAUCAGCUUGUUGGUGGGGUAGUGGCUUACCAAGGCUUUGACGGGUAGCCGGCCUGAGAGGGUGACCGGACACAUUGGGACUGAGAUACGGCCGAGACUCCGACGGGAGGCAGCAGUGGGGAAUAGUGCACAAUGGGCGGAAGCCUGAGGCAGCAACGCCGCGUGCGGGAGGACGGCCGUCGGGUUGUAAACAGCGUUCGCCGGGGAAGAAGCGGGAGUGACGGGAAUGGGUAAAGAAGAACCGGCUAACUACGUG
rnacentral:rRNA from 1 species